GUGAUCCGGUGGUUCUGUAUGGAAGGGCCAUCGCUCAACGGAUAAAAGGUACUCCGGGGAUAACAGGCUGAUUCCGCCCAAGAGUUCAUAUCGACGGCGGAGUUUGGCACCUCGAUGUCGGCUCAUCACAUCCUGGGGCUGUAGUCGGUCCCAAGGGUAUGGCUGUUCGCCAUUUAAAGUGGUACGUGAGCUGGGUUUAAAACGUCGUGAGACAGUUUGGUCCCUAUCUGCAGUGGGCGUUGGAAGUUUGACGGGGGCUGCUCCUAGUACGAGAGGACCGGAGUGGACGAACCUCUGGUGUACCGGUUGUAACGCCAGUUGCAUAGCCGGGUAGCUAAGUUCGGAAGAGAUAAGCGCUGAAAGCAUCUAAGCGCGAAACUCGCCUGAAGAUGAGACUUCCCUUGCGGUUUAACCGCACUAAAGAGUCGUUCGAGACCAGGACGUUGAUAGGUGGGGUGUGGAAGCGCGGUAACGCGUGAAGCUAACCCAUACUAAUUGCUCGUGAGGCUUGACUCU
rnacentral:rRNA from 1 species